rnacentral:rRNA from 1 species
GUAGGUGGCAAGCGUUGUCCGGAAUUAUUGGGCGUAAAGCGCGCGCAGGCGGUCCUUUAAGUCUGAUGUGAAAGCCCACGGCUCAACCGUGGAGGGUCAUUGGAAACUGGGGGACUUGAGUACAGAAGAGGAAAGCGGAAUUCCAAGUGUAGCGGUGAAAUGCGUAGAGAUUUGGAGGAACACCAGUGGCGAAGGCGGCUUUCUGGUCUGUAACUGACGCUGAGGCGCGAAAGCGUGGGGAGCAAACAGGAUUAGAUACCCUGGUAGUCCACGCCGUAAACGACGAGUGCUAAGUGUUAGGGGGGUUUCCGCCCCUUAGUACUGCAGCUAACGCAUUAAGCACUCCGCCUGGGGAGUACGGCCGCAAGGCUG